AGCAGUAGCCGCGGGAAUACGAGGGGGGCAAGCGUUGUUCGGAAUUAUUGGGCGUAAAGGGUGCGUAGGCGGUUCAGCAAGUCUCGUGUGAAAUCUUCGGGCUCAACCCGAAGUCUGCACGGGAAACUACUGGGCUUGAGUAAUGGAGAGGUGAGUGGAAUUUCCGGUGUAGCGGUGAAAUGCGUAGAUAUCGGAAGGAACACCUGUGGCGAAAGCGGCUCACUGGACAUUUACUGACGCUGAUGCACGAAAGCUAGGGGAGCAAACAGGAUUAGAUACCCCUGUAGUCCCUGUCUCUUAUAC
rnacentral:rRNA from 1 species